AGGCUCCUCCUGUGCUUCUCUCCUCCCUCCAGAUGCUCCACUGUCACUUGUGCCCUCCCACCUAUCAAGGAGUUGCUCUUUCCCAAGGAGAGAGGGCUCUGCUGCCUUCUACCCACAGAAUCACCCUGGGCAAAUAGCUUCCCCUUCUUGGUCUCAGUCUCCCUAACAGGAAAACUGGAGACUAGGUAAAAUGACUGAAGAGGCUAGCCAGGAACCAAGCACCAGAAUGCCACAGAUAGAAAAACAGGACCAGAGAGAAAGCACCAUCCCAAGAUCUCAUACAGAGAACAAGGAAGCAGAUGCCCCUAGCAAGCAAACAGGGCAUUUCCAAUUCUCUUGAGGGGGUCUCAUCUCUUCCCAAAGCAAUAAGAACAGGGUUGGAGCACCUCUGACUGACUGUUCUACAACCACCAGCACAGGGGCCCCUCAGUGAACAUCCGGCCAACACUCCCACUGGGAGUCCCAGAGAGCAAGGGGCUUACUCCAAGAUCAUGCGGCAAGCUGGUUUGUUCCACUGCCACCUGCCAAUCAGGAUAGGGUGGAAGUGGGGAAUGGGACACAUGCUGCUUUCCACUCAGUUCUUGUCCCUUCUAGAAAAUUCAGACAUGGAACCCGGGGGGGGGGGGGGGGGCCCUGUCCCCAUCCCAAAUAAGCAUAUAACUUGGGAGUAGUUUGGGGAGAUGAAAUAGACCUUUCCCCAAAUUCCUCAGAGGCCUUGCCAGGACCGUGAAUGAUGCUCUCCCACCGCCUAUUCCACAGCGCUGAGGUUUGAAAGGAGCCCCACCCUAACUCCACUCACUUCACCUUUGGGGCCCCGAUUCUCAGAGCAAAUGGGGCAAUCCUAGGAGUGUUGUAAAAAUUUGAUGUGGAAGGCCCAGGAGUUUCCCUCAGCCGGAGGGCACUGCGGAAAGCCCGUGAUUUCCCCAGGUGAGGCUCCGGCCGGGUGGUCGGUGGCGUAGCGGUUUGGCGUCCUGUGUCCCCGCGCUGAAGCCAGAUCCCGGUACCCGGCGGCCCCGCCCGCGGGAGGCGGGGGUGCAGGCCCAGCGCAGGCCGUUCCGCUGCCCCACGGGCGCCCAUGUUGGUCCACCCGGGCCGCGCCCCACCCGCGGUUUCCCUGGGUCAAAGCAGCCCCACUUUCCCAGAGCGCCCGUGGGUCGCAGACCCCGGGCGGCUUGCCCAUCCGUGAGCCCUGGGCUGCCUUGACCCCCGAUCCGCUGGCGGAGAGGGGCGCGAGGGCUGGAGCCCCCACAGCCCAGAGAACAGCUUCCCGUGGUCAGGGCGUCCUCCGGCUCAGGGGUUGCCGGAGAGCCCGAGAUCUCUCCAACCUCAGCGUACAGGUGGAGAAACUGAGGCCCAGAGUGGAGGAGCAAGUUGGCCAAGGUGACCCUGCGUGCGGCGACUGGAGCCCAGAUGUGCCACCGCUUCCAACGCGGUGCCAGCAACUGCGCAGGUGGGAAGGGCGAGGCGCCCGGCGCCCGCACCCCUGCCACG